rnacentral:rRNA from 1 species
CGGCGGGUGAGUAAUGUCUGGGAAACUGCCCGAUGGAGGGGGAUAACUACUGGAAACGGUAGCUAAUACCGCAUAACGUCGCAAGACCAAGAGGGGGACCUUCGGGCCUCUUGCCAUCGGAUGUGCCCAGAUGGGAUUAGCUAGUAGGUGGGGUAACGGCUCACCUAGGCGACGAUCCCUAGCUGGUCUGAGAGGAUGACCAGCCACACUGGAACUGAGACACGGUCCAG